UUGGGCUAUCUCUCAAAAUAAAUAAAUAAAUAAAUAAAUAAAUAAAUAAAUAAAUAAAUGUUAAAAAAAGAAAGAGAGAGAGAAGGGAGGAGGUAGAGAGGCAGGGAGAGGGAACAACCAAGGCCUGAGGGGACAGAAGUGAGGGGUGGGGACAGAGAAGGAAAGAAAGGGCAUGGAGACCAGGAGAAAACAGAGGCAGAGGCAGUCAAAAUGCAGAGAGACCGACAGCAAGAGAGACAGCAACGGAACAGAGACCGAUGGAGAGAUGGAGACAGAGAGACAGAGAUACACAUGGAGAUAAUGAGAACCUGGUACCUGGACAGCACCAUUCAGCGUUGGAAACCCAGGUGGGCUGCUGUGCCCAGGGGCCACACUGGAUUGUUGUGUUGGGGAGUGUGAUGGGGACUCCCAAAGGAUACACUCUGGCUUUUCAAAGGAAUCAGAAAUUGGGAGGAUUUGGUUAUGAGAUAAGUGUCUUCUAAUACCAUGUGAAACAAGAUUUUGAAAAAAAUAUGCAUUCUGAGAAUAUAAAUGGUGAAAAGACAGUCUCUUCAAUAAAUGGUGCUGGGACAACUGGACAGAUACAUGCAGAAGAAUGAAACUGGACCAUUUUCUCACACCAUACACAAAAAUAAACUCAAAGUGGAUUUUUUUUAAAGUUUCUUUAUUUUUGGGACAGAGAGAGACAGAGCAUGAAUGGGGGAGGGUCAGAGAGAGAAGGAGACACAGAAUCUGAAACAGGCUCCAGGCUCUGAGUUGUCAGCACAGAGCCUGACGCGGGGCUCGAACUCACGGACCGCGAGAUCAUGACCUGAGCGGAAGUCGGACGCUCAACCGACUGAGCCACCCAGGCGCCCCUCAAAAUGGAUUAAAGACCUAAAUGUGAGGCCUGAAACCAUAAAACUCCUAGAAGAAAACAUAGGCAGUAAUCUCUUUGAUAUCUGCCUUAGCAGUAUUUUUCUGGCUAUAUCUCCUCAGACGAGGGAAACAAAAGCAAAAAUAAGCUAUUGAGACUACCAAAAUAAAAAGCUUUUGUACAGUGAAGGAAACCAUCAACAAAACAAAAAGGCAUCUAGGAAAACAUAUUUGCAAAUGAUAUAUCCAAUAAGGGGUUAAUAUCCAAAAUAUAUAAGGUACUAAUACAACUGAACACUAAAAAAGCAGGCAAUCUGAUAAAAAAUGGGCAGAGGACCUGAAUAGGCAUUUUUCCAAAUAAGACAUACAGAUGGCUAAUAGACACAUGAAAAGAUGCUCAACAUCACUCAUCAUCAAGGAAAUGCAAAUCAAAACCACAAUGAAGGAAGCCUGGCUGGCUUAGUCAGAAGAGCGUAAGACUCUUGAUGGAGGGAUUGUGAAUUCAAGCCCUAUGCUGGGUGUAGAGAUUACUUAAAAUAAAUACAACUUAAAAAAAAAACAUAGUGAGAUAUCACCUUACACCUGUCAGAAUGGCUAGUAUCAAAAAGACAAGAAAUAACAAGUGUUGGGGAGGAUGUGGAGAGAAAGGAACUCUUGUGCACCGUUGGUGGGAAUGAAACUUGGUGCAACCACUGUGGAAAACAGUAUGGAGGUUUCUCAAAAGAUUAAAAAUAGACUUACCAUAUGAUCCUGCAAUUCCAGGGCUGGCUAUUUACCCACCGAAAAUGAAAACACUAAUUUGAAAAGGUAUAUGCCCCCCUACAUUUAUUGCAGCAUUAUUUACAAUGGCCAACAUUUGGAAGCAACCCAAGUGUCCAUCCAUAGAUGAAUGGAUAGAGAAGUUGUGUAUACACGUGUGCACGUGCGUGCGCGCGCACACACACACACACACACAAUGGGAUAUUACUCAGCCAUAAAAAAGAACGGGGUCUUGCCAUUUGUGACAACAUGGAUAGACCCAAAGUCGAUCUGUCUGAAAUGAGUCAGACAGAAAGACAAAUACCAUAUGAUUUCAUUUAUAUGUGGACUCUAAAAAACAUAACAAACAAAAAAGAGAAAUCGACCCAUAAAUCUGAAGAACAAACUGAUGGUUGCCAGAGCAGAGGGGGUAGGGGGGAUGAGCAAAAUGGGUGAAGAGGAGUGGGAGGUACAGGCUUCCAGUUAUUAGCCACGGGGAUGAAAUAUAGGGAAUAUAAUCAAUGGUAUCAUAAUAGUGUCAUCGCGUUGUUUGGUGACAGAUGGUAGCUACAUUUAUGGUGAGCAUAGCAUGUCAUAUAGAGUUGUCCAGUCACUAUGUUGUACGCCUGAAACUAAUGUAACAUUGUGUGUCAACUAGACUUCAAUUAAAAUAAUAAUCUACAUGC